rnacentral:rRNA from 1 species
AUUGAAACAUCUUAGUACCCUCAGGAAAAGAAAUCAAUAGAGAUUGCGUCAGUAGCGGCGAGCGAAAGCGCAAGAGGGCAAACCCAGUGCUUGCACUGGGGGUUGUAGGACUGCAAUGUGCAAGAGGUAAGUUUAGCAGAACAUUCUGGAAAGUAUAACCAUAGAGGGUGAUAGUCCCGUAUGCGAAAAACAAACCUUAGCUAGCAGUAUCCUGAGUAGGGCGGGACACGAGGAAUCCUGUCUGAAUCCGGGUCGACCACGAUCCAACCCUAAAUACUAAUACCAGAUCGAUAGUGCACAAGUACCGUGAGGGAAAGGUGAAAAGAACUGAGGUGAUCAGAGUGAAAUAGAACCUGAAACCAUUUGCUUACAAUCAUUCAGAGCCCUAUGUAGCAAUACAGGGUGAUGGACUGCCUUUUGCAUAAUGAGCCUGCGAGUUGUGGUGUCUGGCAAGGUUAAGCAAACGCGAAGCCGUAGCGAAAGCGAGUCUGAAUAGGGCGCUUAGUCAGAUGCUGCAGACCCGAAACGAAGUGAUCUAUCCAUGAGCAAGUUGAAGCUAGUGUAAGAACUAGUGGAGGACUGAACCCAUAGGCGUUGAAAAGCCCCGGGAUGACUUGUGGAUAGGGGUGAAAGGCCAAUCAAACUUCGUGAUAGCUGGUUCUCUCCGAAAUAUAUUUAGGUAUAGCGUUGUGUCGUAAUAUAAGGGGGUAGAGCACUGAAUGGGCUAGGGCAUACACCAAUGUACCAAACCCUAUCAAACUCCGAAUACCUUAUAUGUAAUCACAGCAGUCAGGCGGCGAGUGAUAAAAUCCGUCGUCAAGAGGGAAACAACCCAGACUACCAGCUAAGGUCCCUAAAUCUUACUUAAGUGGAAAACGAUGUGAAGUUACUUAAACAACCAGGAGGUUGGCUUAGAAGCAGCCAUCCUUUAAAGAAAGCGUAAUAGCUCACUGGUCUAGUGAUUUUGCGCGGAAAAUAUAACGGGGCUAAAGUAAGUACCGAAGCUGUAGACUUGCACACAACUUAGAUUAUUUAAGUUUAGAAUAUGAGAAACUAAGUUAUAUGUUUAGUUAUAUUUUUACUGAUUUUUAUAGAGUAAAGAUAGAAAUAAAACUUAGUAAAAUCAGUAAAAAUAUUCUUAGACUAAAGUUAAGUAGUUUAAGUUGUGUGCAAGUGGUAGGAGAGCGUUCUAUUUGCGUCGAAGGUAUACCGGUAAGGAGUGCUGGAGCGAAUAGAAGUGAGCAUGCAGGCAUGAGUAGCGAUAAUUAAUGUGAGAAUCAUUAACGCCGUAAACCCAAGGUUUCCUACGCGAUGCUCGUCAUCGUAGGGUUAGUCGGGUCCUAAGUCGAGUCCGAAAGGGGUAGACGAUGGCAAAUUGGUUAAUAUUCCAAUACCAACAUUAGUGUGCGAUGGAAGGACGCUUAGGGCUAAGGGGGCUAGCGGAUGGAAGUGCUAGUCUAAGGUCGUAGGAGGUUAUACAGGCAAAUCCGUAUAACAAUACUCCGAGAACUGAAAGGCUUUUUGAAGUCUUCGGAUGGAUAGAAGAACCCCUGAUGCCGUCGAGCCAAGAAAAGUUUCUAAGUUUAGCUAAUGUUGCCCGUACCGUAAACCGACACAGGUGGGUGGGAUGAGUAUUCUAAGGCGCGUGGAAGAACUCUCUUUAAGGAACUCUGCAAAAUAGCACCGUAUCUUCGGUAUAAGGUGUGGUUAGCUUUGUAUUAGGAUUUACUCCGAAAGCAAGGAAACUUACAACAAAGAGUCCCUCCCGACUGUUUACCAAAAACACAGCACUCUGCUAACUCGUAAGAGGAUGUAUAGGGUGUGACGCCUGCCCGGUGCUCGAAGGUUAAUUGAUGGGGUUAGCAUUAGCGAAGCUCUUGAUCGAAGCCCGAGUAAACGGCGGCCGUAACUAUAACGGUCCUAAGGUAGCGAAAUUCCUUGUCGGUUAAAUACCGACCUGCAUGAAUGGCGUAACGAGAUGGGAGCUGUCUCAAAGAGGGAUCCAGUGAAAUUGUAGUGGAGGUGAAAAUUCCUCCUACCCGCGGCAAGACGGAAAGACCCCGUGGACCUUUACUACAGCUUGACACUGCUACUUGGAUAAGAAUGUGCAGGAUAGGUGGGAGGCUUUGAGUAUAUGACGCCAGUUGUAUAUGAGCCAUUGUUGAGAUACCACUCUUUCUUAUUUGGGUAGCUAACCAGCUUGAGUUAUCCUCAAGUGGGACAAUGUCUGGUGGGUAGUUUGACUGGGGCGGUCGCCUCCCAAAUAAUAACGGAGGCUUACAAAGGUUGGCUCAGAACGGUUGGAAAUCGUUCGUAGAGUAUAAAGGUAUAAGCCAGCUUAACUGCAAGACAUACAAGUCAAGCAGAGACGAAAGUCGGUCUUAGUGAUCCGGUGGUUCUGUGUGGAAGGGCCAUCGCUCAAAGGAUAAAAGGUACCCCGGGGAUAACAGGCUGAUCUCCCCCAAGAGCUCACAUCGACGGGGAGGUUUGGCACCUCGAUGUCGGCUCAUCGCAUCCUGGGGCUGGAGCAGGUCCCAAGGGUAUGGCUGUUCGCCAUUUAAAGCGGUACGCGAGCUGGGUUCAGAACGUCGUGAGACAGUUCGGUCCCUAUCUGCCGUGGGCGUAAGAAGAUUGAAGAGAUUUGACCCUAGUACGAGAGGACCGGGUUGAACAAACCACUGGUGUAGCUGUUGUUCUGCCAAGAGCAUCGCAGCGUAGCUAAGUUUGGAAAGGAUAAACGCUGAAAGCAUCUAAGCGUGAAGCCAACUCUAAGAUGAAUCUUCUCUAAGCUCUCUAGAAGACUACUAGUUUGAUAGGCUGGGUGUGUAAUGGAUGAAAGUCCUUUAGCUGACCAGUACUAAUAGAGCGUUUGGCUUAUCUUUAAUAAAGCAU